CGUUAAGAAGCUAUGCAACAGCGCUAGCCUUUUAAUCUAGAGAAAGAGGGGGCCCACCCCUCCUUAACGA
rnacentral:tRNA from 1 species